rnacentral:rRNA from 1 species
UACGUAGGCAGCGAGCGUUGUUCGGAGUUACUGGGCGUAAAGGGUGUGUAGGCGGUUCUCUAAGUUUGGUGUGAAAUCUCCCGGCUCAACCGGGAGGGUGCGCCGAAAACUGGGGGACUCGAGUGCGGGAUGGGAGAGUAGAAUUCCUGGUGUAGCGGUGAAAUGCGUAGAUAUCAGGAGGAAUCCCGGUGGUGUAGACGGCUCUCUGGACCGCCACUGACGCUGAGACAUGAAAGCGUGGGUAGCAAACAGG